GACAGAGGUGCCAAGCGUUAGGCGGAAUCACUGGGCUUAAAGCGUAUGUAGGCGGCCUGCUAAGUCAGUUGUGAAAUCCCACGGCUCAACCGUGGAAUUGCAAUUGAAACUGGCGGGCUUGAGUGCAGGAGAGGUUGGUAGAAUACCUAGUGUAGUGGUGAAAUACGUAGAUAUUAGGUGGAAUACCGGUGGCGAAGGCGGCCAACUGGCCUAGCACUGACGCUGAGGUGCGAAAGCGUGGGGAGCAAACAGG
rnacentral:rRNA from 1 species